CAGUAGGUUGUGCCCACUGCCAAGACCUUUCCAUUUGGACAGUUAAUGUGUAGAAUUGCAGUUUUCCACAACCCUAUUACUUCUAGGACUGUUUUACCUCCUUUGUAAUACUACAGGGGAUACUGUUUUCCCCCACGUUCCCUUCUAGUGGACUGUUAAUAUACAUAAUUGAAAUUGCUGUGUUUAUCAGUAGACUAAAAGGUCAUACCCCCUCAAGCUGUCAUGACCUCAGCUCUUGGACGAUUAAUAUACACCAAUAACAUCAAAAGUAUGAUCAUUAGAUAGGACCCCUGUACCCUUACUGUAUACAUCAGGGGUACUGACUAAGGCCCCCUUUUUUGAUUGUGAAUGUGAAUAUUUGCAGUUAUCUAUUCUCCCUUCUAUCAGAGUAGGAUAUCAUUCCCUUGCACCUCCUUUGCGUUACUGUAGGGCCUGCUGAGGACACAAAACUUCUACUGGGACUACUGAUGAGCACAAUGGCAAUUAGCAAUGGGUUUUUCUUUCCUGACCUGGUUAGGCAAGCACUCCCAGCUCCUAUUUCCCAUGGCAUAAUAAAGUAUAGACACUGCAGUAUGCUGUGAACUUGUCCAUCAAACAGUGACCCAUACUCCCACUCCUUAUGCAUUGGCUCCAGUGUAUCAAAUUCCAAGUAGUUAUGGUCUUGCCCUUAUCUUCCCUUUCCACACCCUUUGCCUGCCCUUGGACCCUUCUUAUGGAAUAUUAAUGCUCGCAAUUUCAGGUGUCCACAUAUCCAGAUAAGACUCUACUCCCUCGCUUCUCCCACUCCUGCCCUGCCCCUUUUGCAUUGUUGCUGGGAAAUGUUGACGGAGCAAAACGCUUUUCUCUUGGACUUAGAACAUUAUCAAUCCCAGAUGUCAUUGUUUUGCCCACUCCUGCCCUGCCCCUUUUGCAUUGUUGCUGGGAAAUGUUGACUGAGCAAAACGCUUUUCUCUUGGACUUAGAACAUUAUCAAUCCCAGAUGUCAUUGUUUUGCCCACUUUGAAUUUCUCUAAUGCCUCGGUUGCACUUUUGUUGGUCCCACUCAUCAGACAUGGACCCUUCCACUUCCUUCUUUGCAUUACUUCUGAGUAGUGCUGACCACCCACAGCCCCUUCUGUGUUAUUAACAUCGUAUUGAUUGUCCCAAUUUUUUUAGCUCAUCAGACCCAGGUCUCCCUAUCACUUGGAUGUUGUAUUUGUGCAGUAUUAACUACUAGAAGCAGGCCUGAACUAGGUGGCUGGGCCUUCACAUCUUUUCCUGCAUUUGUUAAUGAUCCCAGUUCCAAUUAUUGUCACAUUGUGGGGACAGGAACCAUUCCUGCUCCCCUCUGUUACUGCUUUACUAGGCAAAAUGCUCAAGGCAAGUCAGACCCAAGGAAACUGGGGUGCUACCCUUUAUUUGGGGUUUUCAUUAUAUGUAAGUAGCAAUUGAAAAUUGUCUCCCCAAGAAGGAAGGUUGGCACUAUCUGUUCAUUCUUCCUCCCAAAGCAGAUUGCCUGGCUAAGAAUCUCUCCUCUCCUCUUGUUAAUUGCUAUUGUAUAGUGUCAAGUGCCAGGAUACAACCAAAAAGUUACUGUUAAUUUUUUAUUUUUAAAGAAAGACAUCUGGAUUGCAAGGUAGAAUUGAUAACCUGGCCAUUGAAAUUUUGAAGUCUAAAAACCUAUUUAUACCAUGUACCUGAUGACCUGUGUCUCUCAUUUUACUAAGGGUGGUGGGUCUGUGGAUAGACCACUGUGACUUUGAUAUUUUAUUAUUACCAAAAGAGUUCUAGAGUGGAGCUCUUAAGACCAGUACCUUUGGGCUCUACCAGCACUUUCUAACCAUUCUUUGUUUGGGCUUUUACCAGUUUUCACUUUUAGAAAAACUACGUAAACUUCCUAAUCCUUAAAUUCCUUCAUCUGGAGCUCCAAACAGCGCCUACUUAUUUCAAGAAGAUUCCUGUAAAAGGAUAAAAUGAGAGAACAUAUGCUGAGGUGCUUUUGAAAACCAUAGAUCACUUUAUUUGAUUAAUCUAUUAUCGAAAAUGCACCCUGUUUAAUUCUGCUAAUUUAAAGUAGCCUAAAGCACCACACUGAAGGGAGGACUUAAAAUGAUGGAACCAGUUUCCCCAUUUUAUCUGAAAAGAAAAAUAAGCCAAGAUCUAAUCAUUUUUUGGAUAUAAAUUUCAACAGUGAGAUAGCUGCCUGGUAAAAAUGAAUAAUAUCCCAGGGUGUUUGGUGGCAGAGAAGUGUUUAAUAUGGAACUGCUGGAGCAAAUAACUAGUUAUCACUAUAGCAGUUCUUUGUAAUCCCUGAGAAAGGAUACUCUUCUCUGAGAAGGAUGUCAAAAGAUCCGCCCAGCUCAGGGUGCAGUUUGCACUACUAGCUCCUUGGACAGCUGUAAGAAGAGUCUCUGGCUCUUUAGAAUACUGGAUGAAUUCUGAGCUGGUACCCCUACUCAAGAGGAAGGAUGGAUCGAUUUUAGGUGCAUUGAAGCCUGCACUAGGCAGCAUCCAAAGGACAUUCAUGUGAGACCUGAGGACUGCAGGCAGCUUUAAGAAGCUCCACAUGAAUCAAAUCUUUCCUUUUGAGAAUCUGGAUAAGCUCCAACCAAUCUAAGAGGAUGGCUUGCAGGCUCCCUGGAGAAAAAGAUCUUCCUCAGAAGAAUAGGCUUAUUUCUUUACAGUGUUAGUACCCCAUUCCCUUUGACGAUCCCUAGAUGGAAAUGGAGCAUGAGGAUCCUCCUGGGGAAAAGCUCACUACCACUGAGCAACAACCCUAGACCAGGAGGUUCUACCAAGAUUCUUUCCUGGGCCCAGUUAGGAAGAUGAGGUCUCAAGACAACCACCACACAUCCAGAGGAGAACAUGGACAAUGACUGCCACAUCUGUGACACUGAUCAUGGCUAGACAUCAUCCUGGACCCUCUGAUCCCCAAAGUCUCCCUUGAGGCCCUGUUGGAGAACUUUGCCAAUCAUUUACAUACUUCAAGAUGCCUUGGGAUAGCUGUUGGACAAAACAAAAAACAAGCUGUUUGAGAAGAUAAAACAGUUGUGUCUUUUUAUGCUAUGCCUGCUAAUUGACAGAAGCUUCACAACUAUGAAUGGGAAUAUGACUAGAAGUGGCACAAAGUUAUCUAUCCUCUGGCUGGAUCUAAAGAACUAGCACCCUGCGUAUUCUAGCUCCUGAUUAUUCACUUCAUAUCUGCCAAAUCAUUAUCUUUCCCAGAAGUAGUGAGAAGAGCAAGACAUUUGAGCACACCAAAGGAAGAUCAACAUGCCUGGCACUCUAGCAUUUUAUAAUAGAAUGAAUGUGUAUUUGUUUACUUGUCUAUUUCUUCCUUGAAUGUCUUUGGUCUUUCUUCUCUAAAGUGUGUCUUCCCUAUUUCCAUGAUUCUCUUGCUAGUUUCUUCUCUGUAUAUCUUUGUCUCAUUUUCUUCUUUGUACCCAAGAGUGGUCUGUGUCUUGUCUUAGAUGUCUCUCUCUAGUUUUUUUCAUUUUGUUACUAAUUCUUCUUGCUUCCCUACAUCUGGCUUUUCUUUCACUGUUAUCUUUGUGUCUCUUGAGUCACAUGCUGUGUACCUUUUGCUCAUUUCAUGCUAUGCCUACCUCUCUUUGUUUUCUCUUUGUGAACUGUGUUUGUCACCCCUUCCCCUUGUUGGUUUGACAUUUCACCUUUUCUGAUACUGGCCACUCUUCUGCUGUUUCUACUCUUUAUCUUGCAUUUCUCUUUUCUACAUAUUCUUUCUGCCUCUCUUGGACAAUUUUCUCUUUUGGUUCUGCUUUGUGUGCCUCAGCUUCUCUUUGUUCUUUGUGGUUUUCCAAUUCAGCAUUCAUCUCUGUGUUCUCGUGUUUCUUCUCUGCUUUUCCGUUUCUACUCACCUUCGAGUGUUUCAGCCUCUUCUUGAGUCUAUGUCCCCCCCCGCCUUUGAUUGCAUGCAAUCCUCUCUCCUUGCAUAUUUUUGUGCAUGUUUUUGUGUGUGCUUUUGUGUGUGUUUGUAACAAAGGGGCCUCCUAACCCCUUCCCAAUAGGUGCAGAGUGUCAGCUAUCAAAAUACAAGCAUUGCAGAGCUGUUCUUUAUGCCAGGCUGCCCUGUGAGAUCAUCCAAGACGAAUAGGAGGCCCAAGAGUCUAGACUGGAGUUGGAUGGAAGACUCAAGCCUCGGUGAGACAGAAGGCCAAAGACCCAGGAUGGGAUAAAAAGCCUUGGCUUGAAGACCUAUGACCCAAAAAUGGAAAGGCCCAAGCACACAUAAAAGUCCAGACUCAAGCCUGUCUCUAUAGACAGAAGGCCCAAGAGAGAUAUCUCAAUUAGGUGGGAAGCUGGAGGCCCAUGACCCAGAACCUGGGGAGGAUAGAAGCCCGAAGACCAAAGGAAAUUCCAAGAUGAGAACCCUAAACCCCAGGAAAUGGCUUCAUCUCUAUCCUUCUACCUCAAAGGGAAUCUAUGUCAAAAUCCUCCUGAUGAAUGGAAGACACACUUGGACUUGUGAACUGAUGUGAAAUGUAGAAUCUCUGAGUCUUGGUUGUUUUGAAGAUUGAAAAGUCUUGUUCAGCAUGGGUGACCACCAAAGAAGCAAUCUAAAGCUAUCUAUAUGUCACAACUGAGACAGAUUGGGGAGUUUGUUGUUCAAUGUUAAAUAAAAAUAUACUGUUUUGAAAACUUUGUAUUUUAAUGUAACAACAAGUUCUACCUCACUGUCCCUUCCUAACCACACUAGUUACUUCAAUUAAAAAAAAAUUAUGUUAAU